rnacentral:rRNA from 1 species
AUUGAACGCUGGCGGCAGGCAUAACACAUGCAAGUCGAACGAGUGGCGGACGGGUGAGUAAUGUCUGGGAAACUGACUGAUGGAGGGGGAUAACUACUGGAAACGGUAGCUAAUACCGCAUACCAUCGGAGGGGCCCAGAGGGGAUUAGCUAGGAGGUGGGGUAAAGGCGCACCUAGGCGACGAUCCCUAGCUGGUCUGAGAGGAUGACCAGCCACACUGUAACUGAGACACGGUCCAGACUCCUACGUGAGGCAGCAGUGGGGAAGAUUGCACAAUGGGCGCAAUCCUGAUGCAGCCAUGCCGCGUGUAUGAAGAAGUCCUUCGGGUUGUAAAGUACUUUCAGCGGGGAGGCGUUACCCGCAGAAGAAGCACCGGCUAACUCCGUGCCAGCAGCCGCGGUAAUAC